rnacentral:rRNA from 1 species
GACGAACGCUGGCGGCGUGCCUAAUACAUGCAAGUAGAACGCACAGUUUAUACCGUAGCUUGCUACACCAUACACUGUGAGUUGCGAACGGGUGAGUAACGCGUAGGUAACCUGCCUGGUAGCGGGGGAUAACUAUUGGAAACGAUAGCUAAUACCGCAUAAUAUUGAUUAUUGCAUGAUAAUUGAUUGAAAGAUGCUAUUGCAUCCCUACCAGAUGGAUCUACGUUGUAUUAGCUAGUAGGUGAGGUAACGGCUCACCUAGGCGACGAUACAUAGCCGACCUAGGAGGGUGAUCCGCCCAACUGGGUCUUAGACACGGCCCAGACUUCUAAGGGUGGCAGCAGGAGGGAAUCUUCGGCCAUGGACGAAAGUCUGACCGAGAAUCGCCGCGUGAGUGAAGAGGGUUUUCGGAUCGUAAAGUUCAGUUGUAAGGGAAGAACGCGCGUUCGAGUUGAAAGUUCACUGUGUGACGGUAGCUGAUCAAAAAGGGACGGCUAACUACGUG